rnacentral:rRNA from 1 species
UACGGAGGGGGCAAGCGUUGUUCGGAAUUACUGGGCGUAAAGGGCGCGCAGGCGGCUGCUCAAGUCAGGCGUGAAAGGCCUGGGCUCAACCCGGGAAUUGCGCUUGAGACUGGGCUGGCUUGAGUGCGGGAGAGGAUGGUGGAAUUCCCAGUGUAGAGGUGAAAUUCGUAGAUAUUGGGAAGAACACCGGUAGCGAAGGCGGCCAUCUGGACCGCAACUGACGCUGAGGCGCGAAAGCGUGGGGAGCAAACAGG